rnacentral:tRNA from 1 species
GCCUGGGUGGCUCAGUCGGUUGAGCAUCCGACUUCGACUCAGGUCAUGAUCUCGCAGUCUGUGAGUUCGAGCCCCACAUUGGGCU